rnacentral:misc_RNA from 1 species
GAGUUGCAGGGGUCCAUGGUCUGGUUGAGGAUGCGGCCGACGCCGAAGUCGGCGAUCUUGACGCGGCGGCCGGAGUCGAUGAGGAGGUUGGAUGGCUUGAUGUCGCGGUGGACGAUGUGGCGGCGGUGGAGGUAGGCGAUCCCGGAGAGCACCUGGCGCGCGACGUCGGCGAGGAAGGCCUCGGAGGCGAUGCGGCGGCCCUCGAGGGAUCCCCCGCCCAUGUACU